GGCACAUAAAUCUUAAUCUGCAUUCCACUUCCCUGGGUACUGGAAACCCUUGCUCGGGGAGGCGGAUCCUACUCAGCUGCAGCAUGGUGAGGACAUGGAGAAUGGGAAGAGCCGUGAUCAGUGUGGAGGGGCAGCAGAAGGCCGUUUCUCCAGGGGAAGAGCCGUUCUCGAGGAGGAAAUGUGUGUCACAGCACAAGUGAGGGAGAGUUCACGUCUCACCUCAACCCUGUGACCAGCUGCACAUAAGAAUUCAAGACAAUUUGUGACCAUAAUUACUUAUCAGGCUGCAUAAAAACACCGAGUUACAGAAGAGCUGAAAACGGUCUUUAAAUAUAACUCGCAAGCUUGCUGCCUGUCUGCUUAGUCAGAGAAGAGCAAUAUUUUGUUCACAAAUAUGAAACAUGUAGGGAUAUUUUGAUAGCCUCUUGGCUCUUCAUGGGUGCUUUUGCCAGGAUUAGCGACGUUGUCCGCAAAGCCAGCAACCCGACCUCCCAGCCCUGCGCCUUCCCGGGAAGUGGCUGCGUACUUCCCUUGCCACCUGAGGAAGUGGUGGGUCCUUGUUCUACGACAGCACCGCCUGGCACCUGCAGAGACCUGGGUGACUCACCCGUGCUGCCUUUCCUUUGUGUUUGCACUUCAUUUUGAAGUAUGACACUAAUAAACCAUAGCAGUAUGAAGUAUUAAACCCACACACGAAGGCAAAUUGAUCUGA